rnacentral:rRNA from 1 species
GAUGAACGCUGGCGGCGUGCCUAAUACAUGCAAGUCGAACGAAGAGCGAAGGAAGCUUGCUUCUUUCAAUCUUAGUGGCGAACGGGUGAGUAAUACAUAAGCAACCUGCCUUAAUGACUGGGAUAACAGAUGGAAACGUCUGCUAAUACCGGAUGAAUUAAUUGAUGGCAUCAUCGAUUAAUAAAAGUUGGGAUACAACACAUUGAGAUGGGCUUAUGGCGCAUUAGCUAAGUUGGUGAGAUAAAAGCCCACCAAGGCGAUGAUGCGUAGCCGACCUGAGAGGGUGACCGGCCACACUGGGACUGAGACACGGCCCAGACUCCUACGGGA